CGAAAGCCUGACGGAGCAAGACCGCGUGGGGGAAGAAGGCUCUUGGGUUGUAAACCCCUUUUCUCUGGGAAGAAAGUUGUGAAAGCAACCUGACGGUACCAGAGGAAUCAGCAUCGGCUAACUCCGUGCCAGCAGCCGCGGUAAGACGGAGGAUGCAAGCGUUAUCCGGAAUGAUUGGGCGUAAAGCGUCCGCAGGUGGCAGUUCAAGUCUGCUGUCAAAGACCGGGGUUUAACUUCGGAAAGGCAGUGGAAACUGAACAGCUAGAGUAUGGUAGGGGCAGAGGGAAUUCCUGGUGUAGCGGUGAAAUGCGUAGAGAUCAGGAAGAACAUCGGUGGCGAAGGCGCUCUGCUGGACCAUAACUGACACUCAGGGACGAAAGCUAGGGGAGCG
rnacentral:rRNA from 1 species